rnacentral:lncRNA from 1 species
GACUGGAAUGGUCUUGACUGUCCAACUCCAUCUUGUCCGAAGUCCCUCCUCAUGAAGAGUCUUCUGGGUUGCAUUUGGCUUGUUGCUAGAUUUUCAGGAUAACCAUGCAUUUGAUAACAUAUUUCUUUUGUAUGUUCAGGUCUGUUGCAAUGGGUGCAGUGUGGUAUGUCCCUUGGUGUUUGUGGCGUUGGUGGUUUGUAAGCCUGAUUUUGAAUCACUAGUGCUUGUAUUGGAUGAUUAUGUACAGAAAAGGUAAUUGGAACUUCAUCCAAUGCUUGAUUCAUUUCUUUUACAAAACUUCUUAGCUCCUCUUCUUAUUUGAGAAGAGGGUAUGCAACAUCAAUGCUUGGAAAAGGGUUCAUAAGGAGUAUAUGUCCUCUGACAUUGAGAAAAGAGUCAUUUAGACCCAUUAGGAGUUCAAUCAAUCUUUCAUCUUCAUUUUCUUUGCAGUGUUGACAAAUGGUCUUCCUUCUACAUAUAUCAUACUCAGCCUAGAGUUUUGUAAUUUUGUUGUAGUAGUUCAGAAUUGAAUCUUGUCCUUGAUUACAGUUCAUGAUUCUUUUCUUCAACAGAAAUAGUAUUGGACCAUUUGGUACAUCAAACCUUUUCUUUAGAACACUCCACAGUUCUGCUGCAUUUUCAGCAUAGGAAAAACUCUGUGCUAUCUCAGGGAUUGUUGCAUUCAAUAUCGAAGACUGAACCAAAUCAUUGCACGUGCUCCAUUUCUCAUAUUCCACUGAUUUCUCAUCUACCGAUUUGGUGGGAGAGGAAACAGUUGACUUAAGAAAUAAAAGAACAAAAUCCGGACCAGAUAGAUAUACUUACCCUAGAAUUGGGAACUCAAGAUUGUAGAAUCUAAAUUGCCGAUACAUAUUAGUAUUGAUAAUCACGUUUAAAUUAACUUUAAUCAUGUUGUUAUUCAAUAGGGUGAAUUGAAUUUGAAUUGAAUCUAAUUUUAAUUAUGCUCAUAUUAAACCCUGGAAUUAUUUAACCAUGUCUAAAAUAAAGUCAAAAGUCAAUUUUGUGGUCAACAAGCAGUCAACAUUUUGUAUUUGGUAUUCAAUAGGGUGAAUUGAAUUUGAAUUAAACCUAAUCUCAAUUAGGCUCAUAUUAACCUUAGAAUUAUUUGACCAUGUAUAAAAUAAAGUCAAAAGUCAAAACCUUAAAUCCGUUGUCAACAGGUCAACAUCUUGUUUUUGUGAAUUAUUUCUAAUUACAAUUGAUUAUUCUUAAUCUUUAUCUUUGUUAAAUGUAUAAGAUAAACAUGGAAAUAAUACAAUGAUAAACAUGGAAAUAAUACAAGAAAGACAUGGAACUAUUACAAAGUUGACAUAGAAGGAAGAGAGAAUCUCAACCACAUUUUAUACUCUAAUGAGAGAUCAAGGAACCAUUGAUUCAAGAUCCAAUGGAGGAGAUCAUUUGGCCAAAGCUAUAAAUAAAUGAGUACAUCCUUGCCAACGCCAACUACACAUACAAGAUUUUUCAAAUCCACAUCUUGAGUUCCACAUUUCCACUUCCAAGUCCACAACUUCAAAAAGCUUCCAAGCUUCCAAGUUCUCCAAGUUGUGUUCAAAUGCUCUUUGUUCAAAGGUGUCCAAAGCUCUACACUUUUUAUUCUAAUCUUCUUGAGUUUCAAAGCAAGGUUGAAGUGUUGUAUUUUUAAACUUUUUUCAUCAUUUUCGUGUGUGUUCCACUUUGCUUGAGAGGGUUAUCUCAAGAUCACCAAAGUGUAAAGAGAGUUGUUGAGCUAAACCAUAAAGUUUUAGGUUGGUUUUAUAGAGUUUAUUAAAAAACUCUUAGGUACUAAAGUCUACCUUGAAAGACUUGGGGUAGUUGCAAGGUUUACUAUAAAACUUGAGAGGUUCGUAAGCAUUGUAGCAUGUAAAAGCUUACAAAAGGUUCUUGAGCGUUGUUGCCUUUAAAAUCUUUGAUAGGUUUGCCAAUACCUUUAGGCUAAUGAAUUUCGUGAGUCAAGUUUACGAGACUGGAAGUAGGUUAGUUAAAACCGAACUAGUAUAAAUCUCUUCGUGUUCAUUGCUCCAUUUAAAUCUCUAGCUAUUCUUUAAACAUAAAAUCGAUUACUACUAUCUCAUAUCACAAUUCGAUUUUAAACCUAUAUAUUAUUUAUAUAUUUAUCUUGAAUUUACUUCAAAGUCCUCGACCUGUUAUCAGGUGCUCAAGAUGUCAUUUACUUUCAAGUCAUUUACUUUAAAUCCUCAAUCUGUUAUCAAGUGCUUAAAGAAGCCAUUUACUUUCAAAUUAUUUACAUUAAGUCUUCGACCUGUUAUCAUUGCUAUUAUUGAAUGUUAUUUUAGAUAUUUCUGCUAAAAUCUGCGGACGCGAAAAGAGGCUACUAAACCCCCUAUAAAUAUUUUAGGAGUAUUCAUUUGAGAAUUGGAAUGGGAGGUUUCUUGAAAGUGAUGAUGGAAUGAGUGGUAUUUAUGGUGUUGUAGAUUGAGAUCCCAAUGUGUAUGAGAUGUUGGACCACAAUGGUUAUGUUCAAUGUUGAUGCCUUUGUUUGCAGUGGAAACCAUUUUAAUUAACUCAAACUCAAUUAAUAAUACUCAAGUUUACAAUUGCUCGAAUCCCC